rnacentral:lncRNA from 1 species
CGCCUGACAGGACAAUAAACCACAAAGAAGCGGCUUUUGCCUCAUUGUAAACCCUGGGACGAGUGAUGACCCAACUGAGGGGAGACCUGCUUCAGACUUCGGCCUCCCUCAGUCAGGGGAGUCAGUCCCCAGCCAGCCCCUGAAAUCUGUACUGCACUUCCCAUGAGGCCGCCACGAGAGCUCCACCCGUCUGCUCUGCAUGGCCCCUCAGACAUAUGAGUUGACAUGGAAGAUGAAGAUGGCACUUGUUUACUUGACGUUUUGUGGUGAGUUGACCCGACUUUUUUGUUUCUUUUAUUAUUUAAAUGUUUUUUUAAAAAUUCCAGAUUCCACUCGAUCAAUCCCC